rnacentral:pre_miRNA from 13 species
GCCCGUAUGGAAAAAUCGAUUUUUCCAUGCGGGCGCUUAAGUGAGCCGCAUGCAAAAGCUUAUUUUUGCAUAGCCUCUUAAGAGGCCUGUAUGGGAAAAUCGAUUUUUCCAUACGGGC